rnacentral:tRNA from 1 species
GCAUUAGUGGUGUAGUGGUCAGCACGCUCGUUGCAUAACUGAGAGGUCCCUGGUUCGAUUCCCGGCGAAGGUG